UAAGGAAUAUUGCUCAAUGGGAGAAAUCCUGAAGCAGCAACGCCGCGUGGAGGAUGAAGGGUCUGUGACUUGUAAACUCCUGUAAAGAAGGAAAAAAUUCCCAUUAGAUGGGAGAUGAUGGUACUUCUGGAGUAAGCCCCGGCUAACUACGUGCCAGCAGCCGCGGUAAUACGUAGGGGGCAAGCGUUGUCCGGAUUUACUGGGUGUAAAGGGUGCUCAGGCGGAUUUGUAAGUCAGAGGUGAAAUCUUACAGCUUAACUGUGAAACUGCCUUUGAUACUGCAAGCCUAGAGUAUGGAAGAGAGUGAUGGAAUAUCUGGUGUAGCAGUGAAAUGCGUAGAUAUCAGAUAGAACACCAAUGGCGAAGGCAGUCACUUGGUCCAUUACUGACGCUAAAGCACGAAAGCGUGGGUAGCAAACA
rnacentral:rRNA from 1 species